AGCUGCAGCAGUUCCUGAAGAUAUCAAGGUCCCGUGUAAGGAUUGUGCAGUAGUCAUUGACGGGUUUUCGUUCUGGUGCGUGCAGUGCAUGCGCGGUGCACUAUGCGAGGCGUGCGCGGCGAGCGAAACGCAUUAUGCGCAUUACGUGUUACGCUCUCCAAAGGGUGCCACACAGAAGCAAACGCAGGCAGUAUUGGCGGUUAUACGUCAACAACUGGUGAUGGAAAACUUGCUAACACUCUACGAGACUGAUGGAGAUGGG